GAUGGGAGGAGUUGAAGAUGUCCCUGUUGGCGUUGAAACAAGUUUUAUUCUUUUCUGUGGUAACCAAGGCAUUAAUAAGGCCAUGGUAAGUUGGGGGCAAAUCUUGAAACAUUGGUUCAGCCGUACAGAUCAAUAUGUCACGUCCGACUUUACCAUCAACUACUUAGGGUACUGGACAGACAAUGGAGCGUAUUACGCUCACCUCCACAAGAUGGAUAAAAAGACCCCCCAGGACACAGUGUUGGACAUCAAGAGCUACUUGGUGCAGAUAGGGGUACCCGUCAAGUACAUUCAGUUCGACUUGUGGUGGUACUUCAAGGCCAGUGACCAUGGUGUUGUGACUUGGACAGCUGAACCAACGGUCUUCCCCAAUGGAAUGGUGUGGCUCUAUAACAAGACAGAGUUACCUGUCUUUGGCUACAACACACGUUCUGGUCAAGCAACACAACCUACGCCAGGGCUAAUGGAGGAAAGUAUGACUUCCUGAUCGAUGUUCCCAAAGCUUUACCACUGGAAGAGAGGUUUUGGACUGACUUGCUCGUUGAGAGGGAAGGAAAUGGGGUCUGUUUGCAUAUGAACAGGAUUACCUCAGUGAUGAAUUUCGAGGAAUUAACAAGCUUCUGACUGACAUUGACCUU